rnacentral:rRNA from 1 species
GAUGAACGCUAGCGGGAGGCUUAACACAUGCAAGUCGAGGGGUAACAUGAUGUAGCAAUACGUUGAUGACGACCGGCGCACGGGUGAGUAACGCGUAUGUAACCUACCUUGUACAGGGGGAUAGCCCGGAGAAAUUCGGAUUAAUACCCCAUAAUGAUAUUGAGAGGCAUCUUUUAAUAUUUAAAGUUUCGACGGUACGAGAUGGGCAUGCGUGACAUUAGCUAGUUGGUAAGGUAACGGCUUACCAAGGCUUCGAUGUCUAGGGGUCCUGAGAGGGUGAUCCCCCACACUGGUACUGAGACACGGACCAGACUCCUACGGGAGGCUG